UACGGAGGGAGCAAGCGUUACUCGGAAUUAUUGGGCGUAAAGGGCGCGUAGGCGAUCUGGCAAGUCUGGUGUGAAAGCCCACAUGUUAACUGUGGAAGUGCAUUAGAAACUGUUGGAUUUGAGUUCAGGAGAGGAAAGCAGAAUUCCCGGUGUAGCGGUGAAAUGCGUAGAGAUCGGGAGGAAUACCAGUGGCGAAGGCGGCUUUCUGGACUGACACUGACGCUGAGGCGCGAAAGCCAGGGGAGCAAACGGG
rnacentral:rRNA from 1 species